GUGAAAUGUGAUUUGCAGAUGUGCCACGACAGGUGGGAUUGUCAGCAGAGAGAUUUAAAUUCUUCAUGAGGCUCACACUCCAUAGCACACAGAGCAUGAGGGUGGGGAGAGGUUCAGAUAGGUUACCCUACUGGAAUACAACAGCUCUGAACACCACAUUACCCAGGUUCAGGGACUGAGUUACCAAAAGCCCUACUGUUUGACCCACCCUGCCCCUAGAGAGAGGGGGUCAACUGCGCCCUGGGCUGUUGUCUUAACCUGUGUGAUUAAUGGUGCAUUAACAUGAUGGCAGUACAUAACUACUUUCUCUCUCUCUCUCAUUCGCUCAUGUUGGGCUCUGCAUUAUUAAUGCAGACACAAAGAGCUCAGUUAAUGAGCCAAAACUCUCUCAGUGGAAUCCAUAAUCUUGGACUAUCGGACCACCAUUUCAUUACGUUUGCAAUCGCAACAAAUAAUCUCAGACCCCAACCAAGAAGCAUCAAAAGUCGUGCUAUAAAUUCUCAGACAACCCAAAGAUUCCUUGAUGCCCUUCCAGACUCCCUCUACCUACCCAAGGACGUCAGAGGACAAAAAUCAGUUAACCACCUAACUGAGGAACUCAAUUUAACUUUGCGCAAUACCCUAGAUGCAGUUGCACCCCUAAAAACUAAAAACAUUUGUCAUAAGAAACUAGCUCCCUGGUAUACAGAAAAUACCCGAGCUCUGAAGCAAGCUUCCAGAAAAUUGGAACGGAAAUGGCACCACACCAAACUGGAAGUCUUCCGACUAGCUUGGAAAGACAGCACCGUGCAGUAUCGAAGAGCCCUCACUCCUGCUCAAUCAUCCUAUCUUUUCAACCUAAUUGAGGAAAAUAAGAACAAUCCAAAAUUUAUUUUUGAUACUGUCGCAAAGCUAACUAAAAAGCAGCAUUCCCCAAGAGAGGAUGGCUUUCACUUCAGCAGUAAUAAAUUCAUGAACUUCUUUGAGGAAAAGAUCAUGAUCAUUAGAAAGCAAAUUAUGGACUCCUCUUUAAAUCUGCAUAUUCCUCCAAAGCUCAGUUGUCCUGAGUCUGCACAACUCUGUCAGGACCUAGGAUCAAGGGAGACACUCAAGUGUUUUAGUACUAUAUCUCUUGACACAAUGAUGAAAAUAAUCAUGGCCUCUAAACCUUCAAGCUGCAUACUGGACCCUAUUCCAACU
rnacentral:lncRNA from 8 species